GUCUGCAAAAAGAGGGAUGAGAAUGCAAUCCUUAAUUCCUUUCUUUUCUCCCUCACUUCAUCUCCUUUCUCUCUUCUCAUCGGCGCCAGCUCACGUGAAGAAGAAGCGGCAGUGGUGCAAGAAGAGGACCAUCCAUGGCUGAAACCGAGCCGGUCCAGGGGGCACGGUGGCGGUGAAGCCUCAAGGCAACCGUCCUCUUUCCUUAGCUUGCAACCAAGAGCGUGACGGCUUUGAUUCGCGGGGGUGAGGGAAGACAACGGGUUCCCCUCUUCAGCAGCGGUUACCGUCAACAAUGGGGGUUCCGACAUAGGAGUUUCAUCGAUAGAGAUGGAAAACAAAGUACAACAUCGACGAAUGUAAUAUGUGAUUAGUGAUUGAGUGUUGCCUUUGUUAAGGGGAGAUCUUCUCAUUAAGAUACUUGAAGAAGUUAAGGGAGGAUUUGGUUUCUUUUAAGUGAAUGAAUGUAUCAUGCCUUUUUAGUACCAAAUGUUGCAUAGCUAGCUUGUUGCAUGCUAUUCGGAAUGUAAUUUAUUGUUUGCCUUAAACACUUAUUAUUGCCUUACUGUGUUA